AGCUUGGUUAUACUUACGAGAACGGAUGACAACAGGGCAACUUGCAAUACUUGCAAAGUAGAUAUUUCAUUUAAGGGAGGAAACACUACGAAUAUGCAAAAGCAUUUGCUCACAAAACACGCGAUGACCUUAAAUGAAUGUCGUGUUUUUAAUUCCGCUCCGGACUCGUGAAUCUCAACCCAGCAGCAGCGGUAACGUUUGCACGUUCUCUCCCAUUAAUGCGGCAGGUGACCGUGAUGAGACAGAGUCUGGCUCAGAUGCUGGCAGUUCUCACUGCAGUCUACCGGUAGCGUCUCCUUUCAGGCCAGGAUAGACGAAUGUCACCGAGCAGUGACUCAGUUUGUGGUCAAAGGCUUGCACCCAUUUGCCACAGCAGAUGCCUCCGAUUUCACUUUGGUAAGUGAAUGUGUUUAAUUGUAGGCAGGGACAUUACUGGAUAUUCUUGUGUAAUUGCUACAGAAUAAUUUAUGUUACACUUUGUUAUUGCUACAGGAGAAUAUUUAUUUUAUUAUUUUACAUAUACAUUUUUUUUCCUGGGGACCCUGUGACACCCCAUUGAAGAGCCGUAGGCUGGAUCUCUUAAGAUCUCACUGUUGGGUUUGUAAGGCCAUGUUACUCCUAAAUUUCUAUCUUGUUCAAAGAGAAGAUAUAAAACACAGUUCUAAGCUAAUCGACCUUAGUGUUCUCCUUUUUUAAAAAAAAGAAUCGAUAAGAGAAUCGAUAAAGAAUCGAAUCGUUAAAAUCUUAUCAAUACCCAUCCCUAUGCGCAGUGCCUUUGUUUACAUACGCACAUGGCGGCGACGCAGAAUGAGAAGAGUGAAAGUGGAUCAUUGAAUAAAACGGAUGAACCCGAACUGGUUUGUAAAAAUGCUGCAGCUUCACUGGUGGAACUGGUUUAGCUUUCGUCCGUCAGAUACACAACAAAGCACUAUUUUUGGUAGCGCAUGCUAGCGGGCCGUCGCUAUUACCGUGUUGUUUGGAAAAUACGGCGCACUUAAAAUCAAUCCUUUGAUUUUUCCGAAAGUCGACAGAGUACGACUUUGCUAAGCUACGAAGCCGCACCGCUUGAUGGAUUGUCGGAGCAUUACGGCUAUCGUAGGCGGAGCCUCGCGGAGUGAUACGUACUGUGCUUCAACAUAAUGUUUCCGUAUUGUGUGUGUAUAACCUCUUUUUAAGUGUUGUGGAUGUUAUACAUGGUUAUGCUGAGGAUAUGUCGGCCAGUUUCCACUGGAAAUGCCUUUUGGUUAAACUGUCAGCGAGGAAUUUGCAUUUGCACUGUUACAUUUGUAUAUAACUUUAAUGCACAGAAAAAACAGCUGCUUGUUUAAGUGAAAAUGCAUUUUUUUGUUUUUUUU
ensembl:lncRNA